CCUACGGGUGGCAGCAGUGAGGAAUAUUGGUCAAUGGACGAGAGUCUGAACCAGCCAAGUAGCGUGAAGGAUGACUGCCCUAGGGGUUGUAAACUUCUUUUAUAUGGGAAUAAAAUGUUCCACGUGUGGGUUUUUGUAUGUACCAUAUGAAUAAGGAUCGGCUAACUCCAUCCCAGCAGCCGCGGUAAUACGGAGGAUCCGAGCGUUAUCCGGAUUUGUUGGGUGUAAAGGGAGCGUAGGUGGAUUGUUAAGUCAGUUGUGAAAGUUUGGGGCUCAACCGUAGAAUUGCAGUUGAAACUGGCAGUCUUGAGUACAGUAGAGGUGGGCGGAAUUCGUGGUGUAGCGGUGAAAUGCUUAGAUAUCACGAAGAACUCCGAUUGCGAAGGCAGCUCACUGGACUGCAACUGACAGUGAGGCUCGAAAGUGUGGGUAGCAAACAGGAUUAGAUACCCGUGUAGUC
rnacentral:rRNA from 1 species